rnacentral:rRNA from 1 species
AUACGGAGGAUCCGAGCGUUAUCCGGAUUUAUUGGGUUUAAAGGGUGCGCAGGCGGCCGUUUAAGUCAGCGGUUAAAUCGUGGGGCUCAACCCCAUUCUGCCGUUGAUACUGGGUGGCUUGAUUGCGGUCGAGGUUGGCGGAAUUCGUUGUGUAGCGGUGAAAUGCAUAGAUAUGACGAAGAACACCGAUUGCGUAGGCAGCUGACCAGACCGCAAAUGACGCUCAUGCACGAAAGUGCGGGGAUCGAACAGGAUUAGAUACCCUGGUAGUCCGCACAGUAAACGAUGAAUACUUGUUUUCGGCGAUAUAAUGUCGGAGGCAAAGCGAAAGCGAUAAGUAUUCCACCUGGGGAGUACGCCGGCAACGGUGAAACUCAAAUGAAUUGACGGGG